GAUGAACGCUAGCUGCAGGCUUAACACAUGCAAGUCGAGGGACCGGCGCACGGGUGAGUAACACGUAUCCAACCUGCCCUUUACUCGGGGAUAGCCUUUCGAAAGAAAGAUUAAUACCCGAUAUCAAGGAUGGGGAUGCGUUCCAUUAGGUUGUUGGGGAGGUAACGGACCUCCAAGCCUUCGAUGGAUAGGGGUUCUGAGAGGAAGGUCCCCCACAGUGGAACUGGGACACGUUCCAAACUCCUACCGGAGGCAGAAGUUGGGAAUAGUGGUAAAUUGGCGCGAGCCUGAAACAGCAAAGUAGCGUGAAGGAUGAAGGCUUAUGGGUCGUAAACUUCUUUUAUAUAAGAAUAUGUAUUAUAUGAAUAAGGAUCGGCUAACUCCGUGCCAGCAGCCGCGGUAAUUC
rnacentral:rRNA from 1 species